UGGGGAAUUUUGGACAAUGGGCGAGAGCCUGAUCCAGCAAUGCCGCGUGAGUGAAGAAGGCCUUCGGGUUGUAAAAGCUCUUUUGUCAGGGAAGAAACGGUGAGAGCUAAUAUCUCUUGCUAAUGACGGUACCUGAAGAAUAAGCACCGGCUAACUACGUGCCAGCAGCCGCGGUAAUACGUAGGGUGCAAGCGUUAAUCGGAAUUACUGGGCGUAAAGCGUGCGCAGGCGGUUUUGUAAGUCUGAUGUGAAAUCCCCGGGCUCAACCUGGGAAUUGCAUUGGAGACUGCAAGGCUAGAAUCUGGCAGAGGGGGGUAGAAUUCCACGUGUAGCAGUGAAAUGCGUAGAUAUGUGGAGGAACACCGAUGGCGAAGGCAGCCCCCUGGGUCAAGAUUGACGCUCAUGCACGAAAGCGUGGGGAGCAAAACAGGAUUAGAUACCCUGGUAGUCCACGCCCUAAAACGAUGUCUACUAGUUGUCGGGUCUUAAUUGACUUGGUAACGCAGCUAACGCGUGAAGUAGACCGCCUGGGGAGUACGGUCGCAAGAUUAAAACUCAAAUGAAUUGACGGGGUCAUAGCUGUUUCCUG
rnacentral:rRNA from 1 species